UACGGAGGAUCCAAGCGUUAUCCGGAAUCAUUGGGUUUAAAGGGUCCGUAGGCGGUUUGUUAAGUCAGUGGUGAAAGCCCAUCGCUCAACGGUGGAACGGCCAUUGAUACUGUUAAACUUGAAUUAUUAGGAAGUAACUAGAAUAUGUAGUGUAGCGGUGAAAUGCUUAGAGAUUACAUGGAAUACCAAUUGCGAAGGCAGGUUACUACUAAUGGAUUGACGCUGAUGGACGAAAGCGUGGGUAGCGAACAGG
rnacentral:rRNA from 1 species